GUAGUUUGGGCCGCACGCGCGCUACACUGAACGGAGCCAGCGAGUACUCCCUUGGCCGGAAGUGCGAGUUAAUCUUGUUAAACUCCGUCGUGCUGGGGAUAGAGCAUUGCAAUUAUUGCUCUUCAACGAGGAAUCCCUAGUAAGCGCAAGUCAUCAGCUUGCGUUGAUUACGUCCCUGCCCUUUGUACACACCGCCCGUCGCUACUACCGAUUGAAUGGCUCAGUGAGGCGUCCGGACUGGCCCAGAGAGGUGGGCAACUACCACUCAGGGCCGGAAAGCUCUCCAAACUCGGUCAUUUAGAGGAAGUAAAAGUCGUAACAAGGUCUCCGUUGGUGAACCAGCGGAGGGAUCAUUACCGAGUUUACAACUCCCAAACCCAAUGUGAACGUUACCAAACUGUUGCCUCGGCGGGAUCUCUGCCCCGGGUGCGUCGCAGCCCCGGACCAAGGCGCCCGCCGGAGACCAACCAAAACUCUUUUUGUAUACCCCCUCGCGGG
rnacentral:rRNA from 1 species